rnacentral:rRNA from 1 species
UACAGAGACUGCAAGCGUUAUUCGGAUUCACUGGGCGUAAAGGGCGCGUAGGCGGCCCGCUAAGUCGAACGUGAAAUCCCCGGGCUCAACCCGGGAACUGCGUCCGAUACUGGCGGGCUUGAAUCCGGGAGAGGGAUGCGGAAUUCCAGGUGUAGCGGUGAAAUGCGUAGAUAUCUGGAGGAACACCGGUGGCGAAGGCGGCAUCCUGGACCGGCAUUGACGCUGAGGCGCGAAAGCCAGGGGAGCAAACGGG